UCCAGACUCCUACGGGAGGCAGCAGUGGGGGAUAUUGCACAAUGGGGGAAACCCUGAUGCAGCGACGCCGCGUGAGUGAAGAAGUAAUUCGUUACGUAAAGCUCUCUCAGCAGGGAAGAGAAUGACGGUACCUGACUAAGAAGCCCCGGCUAACUACGUGCCAGCAGCCGCGGUAAUACGUAGGGGGCAAGCGUUAUCCGGAAUUACUGGGUGUAAAGGGAGCGCAGACGGCAGUGCAAGUCAGAUGUGAAAGCCCGGGGCUCAACCCCGGGACUGCAUUUGGAACUGUGCUGCUAGAGUGUCGGAGAGGCAGGCGGAAUUCCUAGUGUAGCGGUGAAAUGCGUAGAUAUUAGGAGGAACACCAGUGGCGAAGGCGGCCUGCUGGACGAUGACUGACGUUGAGGCUCGAAAGCGUGGGGAGCAAACAGGAUUAGAUACCCCAGUA
rnacentral:rRNA from 1 species